UGGGGAAUAUUGCACAAUGGGGGGAACCCUGAUGCAGCGACGCCGCGUGAGGGAAGAAGGUUUUCGGAUUGUAAACCUCUGUCCUCUGUGACGAUAAUGACGGUAGCAGAGGAGGAAGCCACGGCUAACUACGUGCC
rnacentral:rRNA from 1 species